rnacentral:rRNA from 1 species
GCGGGAAAAGCUCAAAUUUAAAAUCUGGUGGUUUUGCCAUCCGAGUUGUAAUCUGGAGAAGCGUUUUCUGUGCUGGACCGUGUACAAGUCUCUUGGAACAGAGCGUCAUAGAGGGUGAGAAUCCCGUCCAUGACACGGACACCCAGUGCUAUGUGAUACGUUUUCAAAGAGUCGAGUUGUUUGGGAAUGCAGCUCAAAAUGGGUGGUAAGCUCCAUCUAAAGCUAAAUAUUGGCGAGAGACCGAUAGCGAACAAGUACCGUGAGGGAAAGAUGAAAAGCACUUUGGAAAGAGAGUUAAACAGUACGUGAAAUUGUUGAAAGGGAAACGCUUGAAGUUAGUCGCGUCUUACUUGACUCAGCCUUGCUUCGGCUUGGUGUAUUUCAUGUGAGACGGGUCAACAUCGAUUUUGACCGGCAGACAAGGGGAGUAAGAAUGUGGCACUCUUCGGAGUGUGUUAUAGCUUAUUCUCAUAUGUGUCGGUUGGGAUCGAGGACCGCAGCGCGCCCUUGUGGCCGGAGGUUCGCCUCACGUUACGCGCUUAGGAUGUUGGCAUAAUGGCUUUAAGCGA